UGGGGAAUAUUGCACAAUGGGCGCAAGCCUGAUGCAGCGACGCCGCGUGAGGGAUGACGGCCUUCGGGUUGUAAACCUCUUUCAAUAGGGACGAAGCGCAAGUGACGGUACCUAUAGAAGAAGGACCGGCCAACUACGUGCCAGCAGCCGCGGUAAUACGUAGGGUCCGAGCAUUGUCCGGAAUUACUGGGCGUAAAGAGCUCGUAGGUGGUUUGUCGCGCUGUUCGUGAAAACUCACAGCUUAACUGUGGGCGUGCGGGCGAUACGGGCAGACUAGAGUACUGCAGGGGAGACUGGAAUUCCUGGUGUAGCGGUGGAAUGCGCAGAUAUCAGGAGGAACACCGGUGGCGAAGGCGGGUCUCUGGGCAGUAACUGACGCUGAGGAGCGAAAGCGUGGGGAGCGAACAGGAUUAGAUACCCUGGUAGUCCACGCCGUAAACGGUGGGUACUAGGUGUGGGUUUCCUUCCUUGGGAUCCGUGCCGUAGCUAACGCAUUAAGUACCCCGCCUGGGGAGUACGGCCGCAAGGCUAAACUUAAUGAAUUGACGGGGUCAUAGCUGUUUCCU
rnacentral:rRNA from 1 species